rnacentral:lncRNA from 1 species
AACCUAGUACAGCCUGCCGGCCGGAAAUUAACAAGAGAGCGCUACCCAGCUCCCCGCUGCGCAGGCGCAAACAGGCACCCUCACCACGACAAGUGUGGGACUGGCUCGCUGGACCCAUGGAGGACCUAUGAAAAAACUCUUUCAGGCCUUGCUGAAUGAGGACGGCUGGUUAAAAAUUCAUACGAAGAUUGCAUAAAACCAUCUGCUGCCUUUAUUUCCCCCUGUGUGCAUUAAAAAUGCGCAGCUGCUCAACACGAAACAUUCCAUUACACUGUGUGGCUCACGGGCUGUCUUGGACGUUGAGGGCAGAGAGGAGGUGAGGGGGGAGGGAAAGUGGGAUCAGCACUUUCCAGGGAUCUCCAGCUGGACCUCAGUGUCUCAAGCAGGACAUUCCAGAUUUUUCCACCCUGUUGAUGUGCUUUCUGAAGGAAGUGUCAUUCUGUGGAUGUAGUUGAUGCUGUCGGUGAGUUUGUGUGUGUGGUUUUUUUUCUUUUUAAUCUGAAAAUUGGUCUUUGAGUCUACAAGCAGCAGCUGCAGCUGCCAUAAUUAAAAUGAAAUAACCUGCUUCCUUCAGUCCUUAGGGAAAAAAGCUUUUAAAAAAAUCCGUAUUCUAAAUGGACUCAGGAAUGAGGAAUGUGGUGAAUCUUCUCUCUCCCUGUUACUUGCAACAGGUUUUAUGGCUUUGCUUUUCUCUGGAAUCAGGGGAAAAGAAGGGAAUUCGCCUUUAGUGAGCAUUUAUCCCGGCCCCAGGUACUAUGCAGGGUCGUCCCAACUGUACAAGCCAGGAUGUGAAUCCAGUUUAGAUGCUUAUUUCUUUCUCUCUUCCGUGUGCCCUUCCGACAUCCUGCUAGAUCCUAGAUCUCUUAAUCUGGUCCGAUUCUGUCAGAGACCUGGGAGGUCUGGAGUUACUAAAAUGUUAAUUGGCCUGGAUUAGAAACCAAAGCUCUUAGCGGAGUAAUGGAGUAACGAGGUGAAGGAUUCUGUGCUAAUGACUACAUGAUAAUGAGAUGGUUUCAGAGGAGCGGAUGUGCUCUUGAAGGGGUUGCUUAAAAGUCACUCUUCAAACUAGGCUGGGAAAAUAAAAUCCCAGAAGAACUGCAGACUCUGGUUUGUUUGGAUCUCAAAAUAAGCUCGCUAAAGUAGAAAGGGACAACUGUGUGCUGGGAAUUGAAGACACAGCGGUCUCCAUCCUCAGGGAGCUCGCAGUCUGGUGGAAGAGAAAGAUGCGCCAGCAAAAAAUUGUAAGACGCUGGUAAUAAGCACUUGGUCAAGGGUAUGAACAACUUGCUACAGUUUCAGCAUUUUUUUCUCCAAAAGUCCAUUUCUUCAGCUGGUAGCUUUGUGAGCAGAGCAACCUCACCACGAGAGCAACGCCCAGAAUGUUGAACAGAAAAAGAUGAGAAGAAUUACUAUACAUUCUUAUGUGUGACGAUCCAGUUCAAGUGCAUUGAACUCCAGGCCAUCCUCCCAAACCGUGAAGUCAGCCCCAAGCAUAGAAACGCUAGUUCCUUACUGACAUUCUACACAGCCUGAGCGGCUUCCUGCACAUCCAAAAGAUGUUCCCCUGGGCUCCUGGGUCCACAGCUUCUGUUACCAUGGCUUAGCUGAGAAGCGAAGACAGGGGAGGACGGUGGUCUUCUAUCUUUGAAAUUCUCUGCAAGAGACUGCAGUCCAUGUUGUUUGGAACCCAGCUCAAGGCACUGUCUUAUCUCCUUGAUUUAUGGUCACUUUGGGGAAAGCUAAUAGAAGCAAAGGCACUCUGCACUUAAUUCCACCCUGGCCUCUCAAAAGGCAGCGCAGGAAACGGUCACGCUUCCACCCGCCCAGGGCAGGUGGGGAGGUGCGCUGGGAGCAGAAGGUUUGCUGGGAGUGUCAGGAAUACAGGUGUCAUGUGCAGGCUCACAGCAUGCUUUAUGGCUCACCUGGAAAGGAAAAGCACAGAGUUCAGAUCUUGUCGCCAGUGCUUCCUAGCUAGAGGAUUAGGGACAAGCAGCUUAAAUUCCCUGAAGACGCAUUUUCUUGUCUGCACGUGUGGAAGGAUAAUGCUUGCUUCCUGUGGUUGUUUAGAAGGUUAAAUGAGAUCUAAUAU